rnacentral:rRNA from 1 species
AGAGUUUGAUCAUGGCUCAGGACGAACGCGGGCGGCGUGCUUAACACAUGCAAGUCGAACGGAAAGGCCCUUCGGGGUACUCGAGUGGCGAACGGGUGAGUAACACGUGGGUGAUCUGCCCUGCACUUUGGGAUAAGCCUGGGAAACUGGGUCUAAUACCGAAUAGGACCACGCGCUUCAUGGUGUGUGGUGGAAAGCUUUUGCGGUGUGGGAUGGGCCCGCGGCCUAUCAGCUUGUUGGUGGGGUAAUGGCCUACCAAGGCGACGACGGGUAGCCGGCCUGAGAGGGUGACCGGCCACACUGGGACUGAGAUACGGCCCAGACUCCUACGGGAGGCAGCAGUGGGGAAUAUUGCACAAUGGGCGCAAGCCUGAUGCAGCGACGCCGCGUGAGGGAUGACGGCCUUCGGGUUGUAAACCUCUUUCAAUAGGGACGAAGCGCAAGUGACGGUACCUAUAGAAGAAGCACCGGCCAACUACGUGCCAGCAGCCGCGGUAAUACGUAGGGUGCGAGUGUUGUCCGGAAUUACUGGGCGUAAAGAGCUCGUAGGUGGUUUGUCGCGUUGUUCGUGAAAACUCACAGCUUAACUGUGGGCGUGCGGGUGAUACGGGCAGACUAGAGUACUGCAGGGGAGACUGGAAUUCCUGGUGUAGCGGUGGAAUGCGCAGAUAUCAGGAGGAACACCGGUGGCGAAGGCGGGUCUCUGGGCAGUAACUGACGCUGAGGAGCGAAAGCGUGGGGAGCGAACAGGAUUAGAUACCCCGGUAGUCC